UACGUAGGCAGCGAGCGUUGUUCGGAGUUACUGGGCGUAAAGAGUGCGUAGGCGGUUUUCUAAGUUUGGUGUGAAAUCUCCCGGCUUAACUGGGAGGGUGCGCCGAAGACUGGAAGGCUUGAGUAUGGGAGAGGUAAGCGGAAUUCCUGGUGUAGCGGUGAAAUGCGUAGAUAUCAGGAGGAACACCUGCGGUGUAGACGGCUUACUGGACCAUAACUGACGCUGAGGCGCGACAGCGUGGGGAGCAAACAGG
rnacentral:rRNA from 1 species